UAGGCAGAGCUGCUCCUUGUGCACAG
rnacentral:piRNA from 1 species